rnacentral:rRNA from 1 species
GACGAACGCUGGCGGCGUGCUUAACACAUGCAAGUCGAACGGAAAGGCCUCUUUCGGGGGGUACUCGAGUGGCGAACGGGUGAGUAACACGUGAGUAACCUGCCCUUGACUUUGGGAUAACUUCAGGAAACUGGGGCUAAUACCGGAUAGGAGCUCCUGCUGCAUGGUGGGGGUUGGAAAGUUUCGGCGGUUGGGGAUGGACUCGCGGCUUAUCAACUUGUUGGUGGGGUAAUGGCUUACCAAGGCUUUGACGGGUAGCCGGCCUGGGAGGGUGACCGGCCACAUUGGGACUGAGAUACGGCCCAGACUCCGACGGGUGGCAGCAGUGGGGAAUAUUGCACAAGGGGUGGAAGCCGGAUGCAGCAACGCCGUGGGCGGGAUGACGGCCUUCGGGUUGGAAACCGAUUUCGCUCAUGACGAAGCUUUGCGUGACGGUAGUGGGUAAAGAAGCACCGGCUAACUACGUG